GAUGAGCGCUGGCGGCGUGCCUAAUACAUGCAAGUCGAGCGAACAGAUAAGGAGCUUGCUCCUUUGACGUUAGCGGCGGACGGGUGAGUAACACGUGGGUAACCUACCUAUAAGACUGGGAUAACUUCGGGAAACCGGAGCUAAUACCGGAUAACAUUUGGAACCGCAUGGUUCUAAAGUGAAAGAUGGUUUUGCUAUCACUUAUAGAUGGACCCGCGCCGUAUUAGCUAGUUGGUAAGGUAACGGCUUACCAAGGCAACGAUACGUAGCCGACCUGAGAGGGUGAUCGGCCACACUGGAACUGAGACACGGUCCAGACUCCUACGGGAGGCAGCAGUAGGGAAUCUUCCGCAAUGGGCGAAAGCCUGACGGAGCAACGCCGCGUGAGUGAUGAAGGGUUUCGGCUCGUAAAACUCUGUUAUUAGGGAAGAACAAACGUGUAAGUAACUGUGCACGUCUUGACGGUACCUAAUCAGAAAGCCACGGCUAACUACGUG
rnacentral:rRNA from 1 species